rnacentral:lncRNA from 1 species
AUUUAUACUCCAGUUUCAGUUCCGUUGAUUCAAAGUUUUGGGACUUAGGACAAGUUUGCUAGCUUCUCUGAGCCUCAGUUUUUUAAACCGUUAAAUAGGAAUAACAGCAUGCUGAGUGCCAAGAAUUAAAGAAAAAUUUAUGUGAAAAUAUAGAUUAGAAAGAAAACUAAUAUAAAUGCAGGGGAUUAUGAUCAUAAUACUCAUAAAACUUCAGUACUCCCUGGGAAGAUCCAAUGGCCGUCAGUCAUGUGCACGUGAUCAGAAUCUGGGCCAUCAUAUUUUUUUAAGCAAGUUGAUGGCCUGAGGGUUCUUGGCCAGGUGGGAGGAGGCUGCUCUGGGAUGUUGAAGAGAGAUUUUAAAAAGGAGAUGGAAGGCUGUGAAAACAUAGUUCAAAUUGGAGGGAGCUUGGGCAGAUACCACCUUUUCUUUUAAGGAAUGAAUGUAAUUGCUUGCAUUUUGUCUCUACUUCCUUCCUCUCAUUGAUUUAUUCCGAAGGCUAGAGUUUCUACUUUACAUUCUAAUUCAUCUGACAUAGCGUGUUUUUAAAAAACUUAGCAUUGCUUGCUUUGAUUUUCCAGUUGACUUUUGCUGAUGGAGCCUCUCUGAAGGGCAAAUUCAAAGUACAGCUGGGUGCUGCAGCACUGGAGUGCGAACUUGUGGCUGUGGUUAUGAAGGAGCCUCGUCAGCUAUGCCUUUAGCCCCUGGUGAAGCAGUGCCAGUCACACUUUGCCAGUCAAACGGAGAGGCAGCAGUAGUAAGACCAGACCAAAUCAAACCAAACCAAGCAAACCACGGGGAAUGGAGAUUAUUGCCUGCUCCUCCAAGCCCUUCACUGUAGAAUGGAAGCCUGUGAUUUUCCUGGCAUCAUGCAUGACUGAGAAGGUCAGUGUGGCUAAUUCUGAGCUUCAACAUCAGGAAACCCGUAGUUCUUCACACUGAGCCGCCUCCUGCAGCACAGUCAUCCUUGGCUUAACACCACAUGGAAGCCACCAAGACUUAUGACUUGCAUCCUCCUGAAGAGUGGCUCAAACUGUACCUGAGGCCCUUUGAGCUGCAGCUGGAGCCAGGAGCUGGGACGCAGAGAGGAGUGUCCUGAGGCUGCAAGGGCAGCAGAGCCCUGGGUGUGGCCCCCAAAACCAUUCUUUCCCCUAGGCCUCUGGACCUGCAAUGGGAGGAAAUGCCUAAAAGAUCUCUGAAAU